CCUACGGGUGGCAGCAGUGAGGAAUAUUGGUCAAUGGCCGGAAGGCUGAACCAGCCAUGCCGCGUGAAGGUCAGUGCCCUAUGGGCGUUAAACUUCUUUUAUAUGGGAAUAAAAUGUUCCACGUGUGGGAUUUUGUAUGUACCAUAUGAAUAAGGAUCGGCUAACUCCGUGCCAGCAGCCGCGGUAAUACGGAGGAUCCGAGCGUUAUCCGGAUUUAUUGGGUUUAAAGGGAGCGUAGGUGGAUUGUUAAGUCAGUUGUGAAAGUUUGCGGCUCAACCGUAAAAUUGCAGUUGAAACUGGCAGUCUUGAGUACAGUAGAGGUGGGCGGAAUUCGUGGUGUAGCGGUGAAAUGCUUAGAUAUCACGAAGAACUCCGAUUGCGAAGGCAGCUCACUGGACUGCAACUGACACUGAGGCUCGAAAGUGUGGGUAUCAAACAGGAUUAGAUACCCGGGUAGUC
rnacentral:rRNA from 1 species